UGGGGAAUAUUGGACAAUGGGGGAAACCCUGAUCCAGCGACGCCGCGUGGGUGAAGAAGGCCUGCGGGUUGUAAAGCCCUUUCGGUAGGGACGAAAGCUUCCGACCUAACACGUCGGGAGGUUGACUUAACCUACAGAAGAAGCACCGGCUAACCCUGUGCCAGCAGCCGCGGUAAUACAGAGGGUGCGAGCGUUAAUCGGAAUUACUGGGCGUAAAGCGCACGUAGGCGGCUUUGCAAGUCGGGUGUGAAAUCCCCGGGCUCAACCUGGGAACUGCAUUCGAGACUGCAUUGCUCGAGUAUGGGAGAGGGAAGUGGAAUUUCCGGUGUAGCGGUGAAAUGCGUAGAUAUCGGAAGGAACAUCAGUGGCGAAGGCGACUUCCUGGACCAAUACUGACGCUCAGGUGCGAAAGCGUGGGGAGCAAAC
rnacentral:rRNA from 1 species